GUGUACCCUUGGCUUUUGAUUUCAUGGUGGUACAAAGAUGACAGAAUUCUGGAGAAAUCCCAGAUUGCAUGGUGGUGUUGGAAGCUUUCCCAGUCCAGGAGUCGCUGCAGAAGUUUCUCUGCGGGCUGACAGGGAAGAGCACCUCAAGGCUGGCUCAUUUCAUAGGUACCACUAAGCGCUGAGGAGAGUCGUAAGCCAGGCAGAUAAUCUUAAAAAGCAUGUGUGUGUGUAUAUAUAUAUAUAUAUAUACACAGAGAGAGUGAGCAGAUAAUCCAGCAAGAGCAAGAACUUCUGGGGCUGCGGAACCACUUGGGGAAAGGCUCUGCGGUGGGAAGGCGCUUAGCGCAUUCAGAGAAGGGAAAGAUGCGCGGCCCGAUGUAGUGAGUGAGGGGCGUGCCCUGAGAUGAGCCUCCAGUCGUGCGUGGGGAAGUGCCUGCAGGAUCACCUGCUGAGAGAGUGCUCUUCCCGCUCUGGCUGCAGUGGCCGUGGCUAUGAUGGGCUGGAGGCUGGAGGUGGGUGGUCGGGCAGCCCUAGCUGAAAGACCCCGUGGGCCUGGGGAGACUGAGUGGGACCCCAGGUCUGCCUCCUUCUAGCUGUGUGAACGAGGGCCAGUCCCCUGACUCUCCCUGGGUCCAAUAUUAAGCUGGGCAUCUGGCGUUUUAGCUUCCUACCUAGUAAAGUCAAACACAUUACCGGUGAAAUGGCCUUUUAAAGAUAAACAUAUGAAAUGCAACACAUGAAAAUACUUUUUUUUAGCAUCAUAACUGCAGAUUAACUUUAUCUUAAUUUUUAAUUAGAUCUAAUAAGCAGCAAGUUGCAACACUUCAGCUUUUGGUUUCUGCCUCUGUUAAGCAUUUCACUGUCUCGUGCCGCAAUGUGGGGAAUAAAUGAUGUGUUCUCCUUAUUGAGAACCUGCCUGGCGUCAGCUACCUCAACAGUGGGCAAGGCUUGCAAGCCUAGAGUUGGAGAGCAAGGGUCCAGGGAUGCUGUGAUGGUCCCCAAAGGGAAAAGGAGUAGAGAGCGAAGGGUCUAAACUGUUCAGCCUAAUACAGGAGGGACCCAGGAGGUGAGCAUCUGUGCUCUGUUCACCCCCAUGUCUCCGCCACCCUCGUUCUUUGAGUGCCCACAUUACUGUUCCACCUCGGAGGUGCCCAGAUGCCUGAAGCACGGAACACGGGUGGCAGCCUGUGGUGAGGAGGAAAUCAAACAACUCGCUCCAUCUACAGAACGUUUACUGAUGCCCUCCUUUGGGCCAGAAACAGACAGACACUGGGAAUCCAGAAAAGAUUUCAAGACAGUAAACAGAUCUGUAAUACAGUGAGGAAAAGCCCUUGAGGGAAGUUCAAGGUGCCCGGAGCAAGAGCUGGCUCACUUUCCCUGGAAAGGGGGUGGGGUGGGUACUGGGAGAGCCGUCACAAAGGAGCUAUUUGAGCCUGGCUCAGCAGGCAAGACAAG
rnacentral:lncRNA from 1 species